CCCUUAGAUGUUCCGGGCCGCACACGCGCUACACUGGCAGGUUCAUCGAGCUUCAUGCCCUGAUCUGAGAAGAACGGGAAAUCUUUGAACACCUGCCGUGCUUGGGAUAGAUGUUUGCAAUUAUUCAUCUUCAACGAGGAUUGCCUUGUAAGCGCACGUCAUCAGCGUGCAUUGAAUACGACCCUGUAUUCUGUACACACCGCCCGUCGCUCCUACCGAUUGAAGUUUUCGGUGAAUUUACUGGAGAUCCCUUUUGAAGGUGGUUCGCCACUGGAAGAAGUAUUCAAAAGUAAAUGAAUCGAAUGCUUUAGAGGAAGGAGAAGUCGUAACA
rnacentral:rRNA from 1 species